GACGAACGCUGGCGGCGUGCCUAAUACAUGCAAGUAGAACGCACAGUUUAUACCGUAGCUUGCUACACCAUAGACUGUGAGUUGCGAACGGGUGAGUAACGCGUAGGUAACCUGCCUGGUAGCGGGGGAUAACUAUUGGAAACGAUAGCUAAUACCGCAUAAUAUUAAUUAUUGCAUGACAAUUAAUUGAAAGGUGCAAUUGCACCACUACCAGAUGGACCUGCGUUGUAUUAGCUAGUAGGUGAGGUAACGGCUCACCUAGGCGACGAUACAUAGCCGACCUGAGAGGGGGAUCGGCCACACUGGGACUGAGACACGGCCCAGACUCCUACGGGAGGCAGCAGUAGGGAAUCUUCGGCAAUGGACGAAAGUCUGACCGAGCAACGCCGCGUGAGGGAAGAAGGUUUUCGGAUCGUAAAGCUCUGUUGUAAGAGAAGAACGGGUGUGAGAGUGGAAAGUUCACACUGUGACGGUAUCUUACCAGAAAGGGACGGCUAACUACGUG
rnacentral:rRNA from 1 species